UUUCCGUUGGUGAACCAGCGGAGGGAUCAUUAUCGAGUUUAUAACUCCCAAACCCUAUGUGAACUUACCACUUGUUGCUUCGGCGCGCGCUUCGGUGCCGCCGAGGACACUAAAACUCUUUGUUUUUAUAAGCAUUUCUGAGUGGCCGAAAGGCAAAAUACAAAUGAAUCAAAACUUUCAACAACGGAUCUCUUGGUUCUG
rnacentral:misc_RNA from 1 species